rnacentral:rRNA from 1 species
GGACAAAAGACUUAGUCCUAACCUUACCGUUAAUUCUUGCCAAAUAUAUACAUGCAAGUAUCCGCAGAAUUCUUA